CGAACGCUGGCGGCGUGCCUAACACAUGCAAGUCGAACGCGAAAGUCCUUCGGGAUGAGUAGAGUGGCGCACGGGUGAGUAAUGCAUGGGAACGUGCCUAUAGGUGGGGGAUAACCACGGGAAACUGUGGCUAAUACCGCAUGGUCUCGAGAGAGUAAAGGUGGCCUCUGAAUAUGCUAUCGCCAAUAGAGCGGCCCAUGUCCCAUUAGCUAGUUGGUAAGGUAAUGGCUUACCAAGGCAACGAUGGGUAGCUGGUCUGAGAGGAUGAUCAGCCACACUGGAACUGAGACACGGUCCAGACUCCUACGGGAGGCAGCAGUGGGGAAUAUUGCACAAUGGGGGAAACCCUGAUGCAGCAACGCCGCGUGAAUGAAGAAGGCUCUUGGGUCGUAAAGUUCUUUCGACAGGGAAGAAGGGUAGAUUGGCUAACAUCCAAUUUACUGGACGGUACCUGCAGAAGAAGCACCGGCUAAUUCCGUG
rnacentral:rRNA from 1 species